rnacentral:rRNA from 1 species
UACGGGAGGCAGCAGUGGGGAAUUUUGGACAAUGGGGGCAACCCUGAUCCAGCAAUGCCGCGUGUGUGAAGAAGGCCUUCGGGUUGUAAAGCACUUUUGUCCGGAAAGAAAAUCUUCGGGGC